rnacentral:rRNA from 1 species
UACGGAGGGUGCAAGCAUUGAUCGGAAUUACUGGGCGUAAAGGGCGCGUAGGCGGUCAUGAAAGUCAGAUGUGAAAUUCCGGGGCUCAACCCCGGAGCUGCAUUUGAAACUUCAUAACUAGAGUUCAGUUAGGGUAAACGGAAUUCCACGUGUAGCGGUGAAAUGCGUAGAUAUGUGGAAGAACACCGGUGGUGAAGACGGUUUACUGGGCUGAUACUGACGCUGAGGCGCGAAAGCAUGGGGAGCAAACAGG